GCAAGCGUGGAGAGGUGGGCAUAAGCUCUGGAGAGAAGGGGAAUGAAAGUCAGUUGGCGCAAGAUGGAGUACAUGUCUGUGAAUGAAGGAG